rnacentral:rRNA from 1 species
AGCAGCCGCGGUAAUUCCAGCUCCAAUAGCGUAUAUUAAAGUUGUUGCAGUUAAAAAGCUCGUAGUUGAAUUUCGGAAUCAAUAUGUUGGUCGUGCCUCGGUACGUACUAGCUUAUUGGUUUCUCCUUUCUGAAGAACCAUGAUGUCAUUUAUUUGGUGUCGUGGGGAAUCAGGACUGUUACUUUGAAAAAUUAGAGUGUUUAAAGCAGGCUCACGCUUGAAUACAUUAGCAUGGAAUAAUGAAAUAGGACGUUUGAUUCUAUUUUGUUGGUUUCUAGGAUCGACGUAAUGAUUAAUAGGGAUAGUUGGGGGCAUUAGUAUUCAAUUGUCAGAGGUGAAAUUCUUGGAUUUAUUGAAGACUAACUACUGCGAAAGCAUUUGCCAAGGAUGUUUUCAUUAAUCAAGAACGAAAGUUAGGGGAUCGAAGACGAUCAGAUACCGUCGUAGUCUUAACCAUAAACUAUGCCGACUAGGGAUCGGAUGAUGUUAAUUUUUAAUGACUCAUUCGGCGCCUUACGGG